GACGAACGCUGGCGGCGUGCUUAACACAUGCAAGUCGAACGGAAAGGCCUCUUUCGGGGGGUACUCGAGUGGCGAACGGGUGAGUAACACGUGAGUAACCUGCCCUUGACUUUGGGAUAACUUCAGGAAACGGGGGCUAAUACCGGAUAGGAGCUCCUGCUGCAGGGGGGGGGCUGGAAAGUUUCGGCGGUUGGGGAUGGACUCGCGGCAUAUCGGCUUGUUGGUGGUGUAGUGGCUUACCAAGGCCUUGCCGGGUAGCCGGCCUGAGAGGGUGACCGGCCACCUUGGGACUGAGAUACGGCCCAGACUCCUACGGGAGGCAGCAGUGGGGAAUAUUGAACCAUGGGUGGAAGCCUGAUGCAGCAACGCCGUGUGCGGGAUGACGGCCUUCGGGUUGUAAACCGCUUUCGCUCAUGACGAAGCUUUGUGUGACGGUAGUGGGUAAAGAAGCACCGGCUAACUACGUG
rnacentral:rRNA from 1 species